rnacentral:pre_miRNA from 1 species
UAAAGUGGAAUUGGGAUAAUACCUUUCAAACUCCAUAAAAAUUAGUGGAAUUUGAAAUAUAUUAUCCAAAUUCCAUUUUGAA